UUCACUCCUUUACCGUUCCGCCUCCAUUCUCUUCUCCACCCCUCUCCGAAUCGAUUCUCUUCUCCACUCCUCUCCAAAUCGGUUACGGUAAAGAUUCUCCACCUCCAAAGUUCACUCCUUUACUGUCGCCAUCUCUUCUCCACUCUGUCGCCCAUCUCUUCUCCAUCCCGUCGCCUCCGCCCUCCAGCCGUGCUCCAGAGUCUUUUGCCCGUCGGCUCCUCUCCACGUCAGCGCCCUUCCACCCGACGACUCGUCGCCUUCCAGGAAUCCAGCAGUCGCCUCCUCCCUCGGCCAGCCACGCUGCUCAAGAAGAAGAGGUUGAAUAAUGAAACAGAAACCAUUGGAUUCUUCCCUUGAUACUUGGAAUUUUGAUAAGAAAAGGCUGAGAAGGCUUUAGCUUCUAUGCGAACUUGCCAAGAUUAAGAUAGACAUUUGAAACUAAGACAUUGAAGAGUGGACAUAUUAUUAGAUAGUAUGAAAUUUUAUUUUGGUUGACAUAGGUGGCAUUGCCUAGAUAUGUACAUUUUGUUGGUAGGAUGUUAAUCAUGUUAUUAUAGUUUUGUGAUUUUUUUUAUUA